CACGCUGGAUUCUUGUUUACAGAGAGAAUCGCUGAAUUCAAAUCCGCUGAUUGGCAUAAGCAAACUGAAAUUGAAGGAGUCAGACGUGCAAAUUUAGUUUUCCUUAACAAAUAAAUCGGAUUACAACGCAAAACUAAUGAUCGGUUGUGCUUAUCUUGUGCUUCGUGAUGUUUGCCAAAUUUGAUGGUUGUCAAAUGCUUUGUUUUAAACAAGUUCAGCUUAACCGCCAAUUACGAUUUUAAUUUUACACAAAAAUCUGACGACUAUAAUAUUUUGCUGAAUGCGGUGGUGUCAGGACACGAAUAACAUGGAACCGGUGUACAAGUGUUCAAAUUUUAAGGGUAUAAAAAUGGAAUUAAAGCCCCAAAAUCGACUGCAGGAGGUCAGUGCAUAUGAAAUAGGACGCCUUAUACAAGCUGUUGCCCGUGAUUGCGGGACUUCACCGACAGCAAGCAAUACCACAAUAGGCAAAUUCGCAGAAUAGUUGAAGUGAAGUAGAGAAUCCCAGUGGGAAGGAACAUGCCGAGUGUGACCUCGCUCCCUUUAGCGGAGCUGGAGGACGCGCUGGCUUCUACAGGAAUGAGGAAAAUAGAGCGCCCGCUAAGGAACAAUUGGAGAAUCUAUAGCCAGCCAUUGCCAGGAAGCUGGGCGGAACAACCCCCGUUUUCAAUCCGGCUCCCAUUUCCUCAAGGUCCAAUAUGCUCAUUGGGACUCGGAGCUGGAUUGAGGUGACGCGGGAAAGAUGGCGAAGCAUCCGUGGGACAAGAAGGAAGCUUUAAACUACUAAUUUACAUAAAUAAAAUCAUUC